UACAGAGGUCUCAAGCGUUGUCCGGAAUUAUUGGGCGUAAAGCGCGCGCAGGCGGUUUCUUAAGUCUGAUGUGAAAGCCCCCGGCUCAACCGGGGAGGGUCAUUGGAAACUGGGAAACUUGAGUGCAGGAGAGAAGAGCGGAAUUCCACGUGUAGCGGUGAAAUGCGUAGAGAUGUGGAGGAACACCAGUGGCGAAGGCGGCUCUUUGGCCUGUAACUGACGCUGAGGCGCGAAAGCGUGGGGAGCAAACAGG
rnacentral:rRNA from 1 species